GCACUUCUGCAAAUCCUGCCCACCCAUUACAGUGCUGGCCCAGGAUGAAUAAGGUGCUACAUUUAUUCAAAGUAAAUCCAGACGGGCUUCCCUGGUUUGUAGGGGCUUGUCUCUACGACUUUGGCACAAAC